rnacentral:rRNA from 1 species
CGUGUAGGCGGACUCGCAAGUCGGUUGUGAAAUCCCUGGGCUCAAUCUAGGAACUGCAUCCGAAACUGCUUGUCUUGAGUAAUGGAGAGGGUGGCGGAAUUCCCGGUGUAGAGGUGAAAUUCGUAGAUAUCGGGAGGAACAUCAGUGGCGAAGGCGGCCACCUGGACAUUUACUGACGCUGAGACGCGAAAGCGUGGGGAGCAAACAGGAUUAGAUACCCUGGUAGUCC